GGAUUGUAGCUCAGUGGAAAAGCGCUUGCCUAGCACGUGUGAGGAACUGGGUUCAAUCCUCAGCACCA
rnacentral:tRNA from 1 species